rnacentral:ribozyme from 1 species
UGCCUAGCAACUCCUAUCCCUACCUCCUCGCGGUACCGGCCGGAAACUAUGAGCAACCUUAGGGAAGAUCGGGUAACCAACCCCGGUGGGAACUUUGGUCGUAGGCUGACAUGGAAGG